ACGAACGGUGGCGGCGUGCUUAACACAUGCAAGUCGAACGGAGGCUAGAGGGAGCUUGCUCCCGACAGCCUUAGUGGCGGACGGGUGAGUAACGCGUGGGUAACCUGCCCUAGAGAGGGGGAUAACACCGCGAAAGUGGUGCUAAUACCGCAUGAAGCUAUUUGAUUGCAUAGUCGAAUAGCCAAAGGAGAAAUCCGCUCUGGGAUGGACCCGCGUCUGAUUAGCUAGUUGGUGGGGUAACGGCCUACCAAGGCGACGAUCAGUAGCCGGCCUGAGAGGGUGAACGGCCACACUGGGACUGAGACACGGCCCAGACUCCUACGGGAGGCAGCAGUGGGGAAUCUUCCGCAAUGGGCGAAAGCCUGACGGAGCAACGCCGCGUGAAUGAUGAAGGCCUUCGGGUUGUAAAAUUCUGUCUUUAGGGAAGAAAAAAAUGACGGUACCUGAGGAGGAAGCCCCGGCUAACUACGU
rnacentral:rRNA from 1 species